rnacentral:tRNA from 1 species
CCGGCGGCUGGCGGGGCCCCGGCGACGUCGGCGACGUCGCGGUGCUGGAGCUGGAGGAGCCCGUCCCGUUCGAGCCGGCGGCACUGGCC